rnacentral:rRNA from 1 species
AUCAAUAAGCGGAGGAAAAGAAACUAACAAGGAUUCCCCUAGUAACUGCGAGUGAAGCGGGAAAAGCUCAAAUUUAAAAUCUGGCAGUCUUUGAUUGUCCGAGUUGUAGUCUGGAGAAGUGCUUUCCGCGCUGGACCGUGUACAAGUCCCUUGGAACAGGGCGUCAUAGAGGGUGAGAAUCCCGUCUUUGACACGGACUACCAGUGCUUUGUGAUGCGCUCUCAAAGAGUCGAGUUGUUUGGGAAUGCAGCUCAAAAUGGGUGGUAAAUUCCAUCUAAAGCUAAAUACAGGCGAGAGACCGAUAGCGAACAAGUACCGUGAGGGAAAGAUGAAAAGCACUUUGGAAAGAGAGUUAAACAGUACGUGAAAUUGCUGAAAGGGAAACGCUUGAAGUCAGUCGCGUCUUUCGGAAAUCAGCCUUGCAUUUAUUUGUUUGGUGUAUUUUCUGUUUGACGGGCCAACAUCGAUUUUAAUCGUUGGAUAAAGAUAAAGGAAAUGUGGCACCUUCGGGUGUGUUAUAGUCUUUUAUUGCAUACAACGGUCGGGAUCGAGGAACUCAGCACGCCUUUAUUGGUCGGGGUUCGCCCACGUUUCGUGCUUAGGAUGUUGGCAUAAUGGCUUUAAACGACCCGUCUUGAAACACGGACCAAGGAGUCUAACAUACCUGCGAGUGUUUGGGUGUUAAACCCGAGCGCGUAAUUAAAGUAAUAGUUGAGAUCCCCCUUAAAAGGGAGCAUCGACGCCCGGACUUGACCUUUUGUGAUAGCUCUGCGGUAGAGCAUGUAUGUUGGGACCCGAAAGAUGGUGAACUAUGCCUGAAUAGGGUGAAGCCAGAGGAAACUCUGGUGGAGGCUCGUAGCGAUUCUGACGUGCAAAUCGAUCGUCAAAUUUGGGUAUAGGGGCGAAAGACUAAUCGAACCAUCUAGUAGCUGGUUC